GCCCGUGACUCUGCGAGAAGUCCCAUUGAACCUUAUCAUUUAGAGGAAGGAGAAGUCGUAACAAGGUUUCCGUAGGUGAACCUGCGGAAGGAUCAUUG
rnacentral:rRNA from 2 species